UGCCCAAGAGAUCGGGAUAACACCUGGAAACAGAUGCUAAUACCGGAUAACAACAGAUGAUGCCUAUCAACUGUUUAAAAGAUGGCUCUGCUAUCACUCUUGGAUGGACCUGCGGUGCAUUAGCUAGUUGGUAGGGUAACGGCCUACCAAGGCGAUGAUGCAUAGCCGAGUUGAGAGACUGAUCGGCCACAUUGGGACUGAUACACGGCCCAAACUCCUACGGGAGGCAGCAGCA
rnacentral:rRNA from 1 species